rnacentral:rRNA from 1 species
ACUCCUACGGGAGGCAGCAGUGGGGAAUAUUGCACAAUGGGGGAAACCCCUGAUGCAGCCAUGCCGCGUGUGUGAAGAAGGCCUUCGGGUUGUAAAGCACUUUCAGUAGGGAGGAAGGUAGUGUAGUUAAACACCUGCAUUUAUUUUGAACGUUACCCUACAGAAAGAAGCACCGGCUAACUCCGUGCCAGCAGCCGCGGUAAUACGGAGGGUGCGAGCGUUAAUCGGAAUUACUGGGCGUAAAGCGCAUGCAGGCGGCCUGUUAAGUCAGAUGUGAAAGCCCGGGGCUUAACCUCGGAAUUGCAUUUGAAACUGGCAGGCUAGAGUCUUGUAGAGGGGGUAGAAUUUCAGGUGUAGCGGUGAAAUGCGUAGAGAUCUGAAGGAAUACCAGUGGCGAAGGCGGCCCCCUGGACAAAGACUGACGCUCAGA